rnacentral:misc_RNA from 1 species
CCAUAAGAUAGUGCGUAAAUCCCUUCCUAGUGCUUCGAUAAACUAAUACUACACCCUGUGGGUCGACGUGCGUAGUGUACAUCGAAGGACUUUUCAUACGUGGAUACGUGAAUCUCAUUUGCAUGUGAAUAUUGUCGACGUUUUGUAGAAAGUCACAAAAAUAACGUCCAGUGGCCUUUAUCAUGCAGGCAUCCUAAGUUGCUAAAAAAUCUUACGAAACACUUCCCAAAGAAUUGCAUUACAUCCUCCACGGAUUCACCAUUGCAUUCGGCUAAUGCAGCAGCUAAAUUGGUCAUAAGCUCGUCGGGAUACGUUUGUCGCGUGUUGAAAACCAUAUGUUUGCAAUCAGCUCUUUCCAGGAGCUGAAGCCACACAUCCUCGCCGUAUUCUAACUGUAACGAGAAUUUGAUGGCUCUGUCAUUAUUAG